AUCCUCUUUAAUAAUGAUUAACUUGGGGCCAAUUUUGUCUCAUUUUCUGCCCUCCAAUUAUUAUCAAUUAACCUCAUAUAAUUUCAUCCAUACAUAUAUUUUAGAAUCUCUUUUUUGAUAUAUAUAAUGAUAUAUAUAUAUAUAUCAUUACCUCACCUAAAAUUAACAAUGCUUUCUUACAUAAUCAAAUAUUCAGUUAGUGUUCACAUUUCUAAUUGUUUCACAAAUGUUAAAAGCAGCUUAUACUUAUUUUUGCUCUGAAUUUGACUUUAAGUAAAGUCUAUGCAUUAUAAUUGAUUGAUAUUUCUUUUAUUUGUUUUAACCUUAUGGAUUUCUUUCUCUUUUCUUCUCUCUACUUUCAAUAUAUUUGUUGGAGAAACCAGCUGGAAUACUGAAAAAGAAAAAUCUUCCUCAAAAUAAUGUUUGGUUACCCAUUGGCAAAGGAGAUCAAAGAGAAAAGAAGAUAAAAGCUUGGUUCUCUUUAAUCAUUCGUGUGUUGUUGUUUUUUAAAUAGUGAGUUGAUGCAAAGCAACCUACAAUGGUAGAAACAACAGAAUUCAAGGGAAUGUUUCCAAAUAAAAGAUUGCACUUUGCAGGCAUACCAAGUCUGUUUUUUAAGGUAACCAUGUUUAGUCCACGUGUCUGUGUGAUAUCUGCAUGGAACAGGUUGGAGACACUGAGAAACGAUGCUCAGCCAACAAGGUCCAUUUUAUCCACCAAAACACAGACCGUGGACCCUGCCUCGGCACAAGAGAAGCUGAUUUUAUCUGAGCUCCUGGCAUGUGUCCAACAGAGGGAGGCUUCUUCAGCCCUGGAGCCAUCCCAGAACAGAACAGGCUCCUUCUCGGGAGCGGGUAGCACCCCAGCAACUCCAGUAUGAGAAUGUAUUUCUGCAAAAUCCCAAAAUGACAACAUUGCACAAUUACAGCAAUGGGAUAUUUGAACUGAUCCUUGAAACAUCAGUGUUUCCAAUAAAGAAAGUGUGAUGUUAAGUGAACCAGCAUUUGAAAGGAGCACUUCAGGUAAAGGGAAGAACAUGGCUGUAUAGCAUCUCGUAUUGUUCAGGUAACGGCAGGUGCCACAAAGAAAACCUCUGGAUGUUCUCUUCAACGAACGCGGGCAAACCAUCCCUCCAGCUCUCUGAAACGGAAGUGUCAGUGCAUAAUAUAUACCCAGAAGCCAUUUUUCAUCAAGGAACAUCUUUUUGUUUUGUUUUUUAACUUGAUGCUUCACUAUGCACAUUAAUAACACAUGGGAAGAAACACACAUUGAAAUAUGUAGGGAAAAUAAGGAACACUGAUGGAUGAGGAACACAAAUUUAUAUAUUGUUUGACUGAUGGAUUGCAAAUUAUAAAGUAAAUGAAGUAAAAUGUUAUCUAUAACUGAGACUGAGUCUGAGUACUUGGAGACACUUGGAAAUGUUUUUAUUUUUGCACCUAUUCAAUAUGUUUGACAUUAUUUCCAAAGCAAAAGUAAAAUCAACAACAGCAAAACAAAAACAAAGACUAAAACAAACGCCUGGAACACUGUCAGGGCUGCAUGGAGCUGUCCUGUCGUUUGAGAAGAUAAAAUCUAGUAGGACACGCUGAGCCAGGGUGGGAAUCAGUGUGAACUGUUAACCACUCUUUCCAUAGAGGCUAAGGAACAGGCUGAAGGCCUCUGGUGAUGCCCACCAUCAAAUGCCCACAGCCAAAAGCUGAAGGGAAGUGAGACAUAACUUUUAAACAUGGUCUUGAUUCUGUAAGUUCCAUCAUUAUCUUUAUUGUGGGGAACUCAUUCACAAAAAGGUUCUGCCUGGAGAACACACAGGGUGGAGUCCCAGACUAGAACCCAGGACAUCGAUGUGCUCACAGAGAGAGACCUUGGGCAUUGUAGAUGCAGAGGCCCGGGACCUUCUCGGAAACCUCAGCAGCCAGCGAGGCCACAUUUAGAAGAAAUCAUAAUGAUCUCUCUGGAAUCUAUGGAAUUUGAGUGGUGAUGCUCCUGCAUCUCACUCUCACUAGGGAGUCAGGAGGAUUAAUUAGCAGUUUCCUGCAAAGUACUGUGUGUUCUCUUUCUCAGGAGGCAGAUUAGUAACUAAUUCCCAUAAUGUCUCCUGAAGGGAAGGUCAUAGUAAAGACCGAAAUCUUGCCUUGGAGAAUCGCUAAACAGGCACACACUGGAUUUGCUCAUCUGAGUGCAAGUGGAAAACUGAUCAUAACAUUAUACAUCAAAACCUGGAUUAUAUUCGUACCCAAUAAUUACAUUGCUAGUAGUAUAAUUUAAGGAAUAAAAAAUAGCUCUGUGAACAAAAUUGCACUUUCUAGUUUUUGUCAGUGGUAAAAAUAAUGGCAGCAAACCUCUCUGUCCAACACCAGGAAGAUGGGAAAAUACAUUAAUGUGUAUCUAGUUAAGGAGUAAUGUAUAGUUAUUACAGUUGUAUUUUUAAAGGGCUUAAAAUAACCAUUAAUUGUUGCCAGUGGAAACUGUAUUCUUUCAUGUGAUUGAAAGGCAAGCAUUCCAAGGACCCAAUAUGGAUUUCAAGUUAUAAAGUAAAUGGCUCAUAAUGCUUAUCCUCCUAUAUAAUAAAGAGGUAAUAUGCAAAUUGACCAUCACUCCAACACAC